GAUGAACGCUAGCGGCAGGCUUAAUACAUGCAAGUCGUGGGGCAGCAUGAUGUAGCAAUACAUUGAUGGCGACCGGCAAACGGGUGCGGAACACGUACACAACCUUCCUUUUAGUGGGGAAUAGCCCAGAGAAAUUUGGAUUAAUACCCCAUAACAUAUAGAGAUGGCAUCAUCUUAAUAUUAAAGCUUCGGCGCUAGAAGAUGGGUGUGCGGCUGAUUAGGUAGUUGGCGGGGUAACGGCCCACCAAGCCUACGAUCAGUAGCUGAUGUGAGGGCAUGAUCAGCCACACGGGCACUGGGACAGGGGCCCGAGUCUUACGUGAGGCAGCAGUGGGGAAUAUUGGACAAUGGGGGGAACCCUGAUCCAGCCAUGCCGCGUGAGUGAAGAAGGCCUUCGGGUUGUAAAGCUCUUUCGGCCGGGAAGAAAUCGCACAGGCUAAUACUCUGUGUGGAUGACGGUACCGGCAUAAGAAGCACCGGCUAACUCCGUGCCAGCAGCCGCCGUAACAC
rnacentral:rRNA from 1 species